rnacentral:rRNA from 1 species
UUAAAUUGAAGAGUUUGAUCAUGGCUCAGAUUGAACGCUGGCGGCAGGCCUAACACAUGCAAGUCGAGCGGUAGCACAGAGAGCUUGCUCUCGGGUGACGAGCGGCGGACGGGUGAGUAAUGUCUGGGAAACUGCCUGAUGGAGGGGGAUAACUACUGGAAACGGUAGCUAAUACCGCAUAACGUCGCAAGACCAAAGUGGGGGACCUUCGGGCCUCAUGCCAUCAGAUGUGCCCAGAUGGGAUUAGCUAGUAGGUGGGGUAACGGCUCACCUAGGCGACGAUCCCUAGCUGGUCUGAGAGGAUGACCAGCCACACUGGAACUGAGACACGGUCCAGACUCCUACGGGAGGCAGCAGUGGGGAAUAUUGCACAAUGGGCGCAAGCCUGAUGCAGCCAUGCCGCGUGUGUGAAGAAGGCCUUCGGGUUGUAAAGCACUUUCAGCGGGGAGGAAGGCGUUAAGGUUAAUAACCUUGGCGAUUGACGUUACCCGCAGAAGAAGCACCGGCUAACUCCGUGCCAGCAGCCGCGGUAAUACGGAGGGUGCAAGCGUUAAUCGGAAUUACUGGGCGUAAAGCGCACGCAGGCGGUCUGUCAAGUCGGAUGUGAAAUCCCCGGGCUCAACCUGGGAACUGCAUUCGAAACUGGCAGGCUAGAGUCUUGUAGAGGGGGGUAGAAUUCCAGGUGUAGCGGUGAAAUGCGUAGAGAUCUGGAGGAAUACCGGUGGCGAAGGCGGCCCCCUGGACAAAGACUGACGCUCAGGUGCGAAAGCGUGGGGAGCAAACAGGAUUAGAUACCCUGGUAGUCCACGCCGUAAACGAUGUCGAUUUGGAGGUUGUGCCCUUGAGGCGUGGCUUCCGGAGCUAACGCGUUAAAUCGACCGCCUGGGGAGUACGGCCGCAAGGUUAAAACUCAAAUGAAUUGACGGGGGCCCGCACAAGCGGUGGAGCAUGUGGUUUAAUUCGAUGCAACGCGAAGAACCUUACCUGGUCUUGACAUCCACAGAACUUUCCAGAGAUGGAUUGGUGCCUUCGGGAACUGUGAGACAGGUGCUGCAUGGCUGUCGUCAGCUCGUGUUGUGAAAUGUUGGGUUAAGUCCCGCAACGAGCGCAACCCUUAUCCUUUGUUGCCAGCGGUUCGGCCGGGAACUCAAAGGAGACUGCCAGUGAUAAACUGGAGGAAGGUGGGGAUGACGUCAAGUCAUCAUGGCCCUUACGACCAGGGCUACACACGUGCUACAAUGGCAUAUACAAAGAGAAGCGACCUCGCGAGAGCAAGCGGACCUCAUAAAGUAUGUCGUAGUCCGGAUUGGAGUCUGCAACUCGACUCCAUGAAGUCGGAAUCGCUAGUAAUCGUAGAUCAGAAUGCUACGGUGAAUACGUUCCCGGGCCUUGUACACACCGCCCGUCACACCAUGGGAGUGGGUUGCAAAAGAAGUAGGUAGCUUAACCUUCGGGAGGGCGCUUACCACUUUGUGAUUCAUGACUGGGGUGAAGUCGUAACAAGGUAACCG